GGUUUGCCCAUUGAGAAAAGAAACAUUUUAAAAAUAAAAAUCUUUAACAUAAGAACCAGAAAACAAAAGAGCCAAGCAUAGACUGGUCACUGUUAAAACCGCUAAGGGACAGAUACAGUUACAAAGGCUGGGGGUAGUAGGGGCGCUCAGUAGCGCUUAAGUCAAAGCACACCCUUUCUGUACUGACAUCAUGGUGGAUAUACUAGUGUUGCCUACCGUUGCUUGGAUACAUGUUAUUAUACUUUGCCAAAGGGAAUAUUUUAGGAGAGAGUGAAACACUACGGCAAACACAUUGGUCCAAACAAAGGAACAGGUAAAGGGCAGGCAUUACUUUCUUACUUGAAGACCAAGACACAAAAUGUUGCAUGACCAUUACAUGUCUACAAUCAGCCAUAACCCAUUUUUUGGUUUCACCAUCACUGUUAUCGAGCCAUAUGCUAUUGCCUGAAUAUUAGGGAAGAACGGAUACCAUAACAUCCCAUCGGAUUCAAGGCAGUGCCCUCAAACACGUUUCAGAAACUGGGCAAUCACUCACCCACAAAUCAUCCACAGUACAAACAUGACCAUGACAUUUUUAAAUAUACUGUAUAUACAUACACACAACUUUGUCAUCCACCGUGAACUAUUCCCUCUACUUCUAGGGGGAUGAGCUAAAACAUUGCUGCAGUAAUAGUCAAAACGUUCAAACUGUUUCCAUCGUUUCUCACAAAAUACUGGGAGAUCUGAAGACUUUGGCCAUGUGACCAGACUCAAUUUUGAAACUUACUUGAGACCAGCAUAUAGUAUCUUGCCAGAAGACACAGAUGGCCUCCACCCAACCCAAGCUCCAACUCAAAGUGCACACUCGGGCCACUCAAUGGCAGUUUUAGGUGCUUCCAUUUGUUUUGAAAAUGUACCCACAUACAGUUUUUGGGUUCAAAAGCUGGCACAGCCAACAAACCACACUGCUGCUAAAUCAGGCAGCAGGUGGGAUAUCCCUAUGAGAGCACCGUAAAGGCUAGUUUCAGGUUGAUAAGUCAUUGCUUCUCUAUUUUUUUUUUCUUUUACCAGUUUCCCCCCCACGCAAAGCCCUGCCCUAAAACCCCCAAACCCCAUUACAGAGAAAAUAUACACUUAAAACUUACAUACUCUCUCAUACACACAAACACACAAAUGUACAGUAACACACAGCUGGAACAUAGAUUAAACAGUUCACUGGAUUCAUGAAAAGCUGAGGAGUUAAGUACAUGUCAGUCAGAGCAAAACUAACCCCUGAUUGGUCCUGCACACAGACACUCCCCUGGUCCGAGUUGUUGGUUCCUUACCUUUGAGUCCCUGUUGCAAAGCAUCACUAGAAAGAUCAGCUUUUUUCACUGUGUUCAUUCUUUAGAACUCAGCUAAAGAUAUGGAGUACUCCCCACAAAGCUAGGGCAGACGCAAAACGUAGAGAAAGUUGGCCAAACGAUAGGUCACUAAUAUACUCUCACACGAAGAGAAAGUUGGCCAAACGAUAGAUCACUAAUAUAAUUUCACACGACUGGCAUGGACAUACGAACCAUAGCAAUAUCCUAACUGCCCAAGAUAUGAAAAUAUACAAAUACAUACAUAUGUAUAUGUUUUGCUUAAGUUGCAUGUAAAAGAUCAAGUGUAGAUUAUCCUUGCAAGUUCUUGCAACCAAUUUUGAACAAAAGAAAAAGACACACACAUGGCAAUUUCAAUAACAUUGAAAUUUGAAGACACAAGAAUCAUACAGGAAAUGUUGAAAAGUGAGAUCUCCAGCAUUUCACACAUUGUAGAUGACAAUCACAAGAACAAACAACCACAAAG
ensembl:lncRNA